rnacentral:rRNA from 1 species
UGAGGAAUUUUGGACAAUGGGGGAAACCCUGAUCCAGCGACGCCGCGUGAAGGAUGAAGGUCUUCGGAUUGUAAACUUCUUUUAUUCGGGAAUAAAAAACCCGUGGAAACACGGGGAUUGAAGGUACCGGAUGAAUAAGCCACGGCUAACUUCGUGCCAGCAGCCGCGGUAAUACGAAGGUGGCAAGCGUUACUCGGAAUUACUAGGCGUAAAGGGCAGGUAGGUGGUUCGUUAAGUCUGUUGUGUAAGCUCCCGGCUCAACUGGGAGAGGUCAACAGAUACUAUCGAGCUUGAGUAUAGGAGAGGGUACUGGAAUUCCCGGUGUAGCGGUGAAAUGCGCAGAGAUCGGGAGGAACACCAACGGCGAAAGCAGGUACCUGGACUAUUACUGACACUCAGCUGCGAAAGCUAGGGGAGCAAACAGG